rnacentral:rRNA from 1 species
UAAACACUGGUUUUUAGCGCGUCAGGUCUCUAUAAUCUCGCGCAACUAUUUCCCCCUCGAACACUUUUUAAGCCGUAGAUAAACAGGCUGGGACACUUCACAUGAGCGAAAAAUACGUCGUCACCUGAGGGAUGACGUCAAGUCAUCAUGGCCCUUACGACCAGGGCUACACACGUGCUACAAUGGCGCAUACAAAGAGAAGCGACCUCGCGAGAGCAAGCGGACCUCAUAAAGUGCGUCGUAGUCCGGAUUGGA